GGGCCGCGGGCCGCGCCGGGCCCCGGGAGGCUGCCCAGCGAGGCGGCGGCAGCGGCGACGGGCGGGCGCGUGGGACUGUGCUGGCUGCCCCGCAAGAGCUGCAUGUGACACCUUCUGCCAUGAGAUGAUGCUACAAGAAGAACCUCACCGACUGCUGGCACCUUGAUACUGGACUUCACAGCCUCCAGAAUUGUGAGCCAAUGUCUUUCAAACAUUGAUAAUUACACCUUUCAGACCCAAAGCCUACAAAUUCAUAAUCCACACAGAUGACAUACUAAAAUCUACUCAGACUUGUAAGUCUGAAGACAAUUUCAGCACUAUUGGACUUACAUUAAGAGAAAACUGCUUAAAAAGAGAUAAUCCAUUUUAAAGCAAGAAAACAAGAUAAUUCAAGGGAAAAAUGUAUGACUCUAAAUUUGGAAACCAGACAGGAUCUGCCAAUACGGGGCAGAAUGUUAAAAAGAGGAUGAAUUUUGAUUUCAGAAAAUUUAGAAGAAAAUGGAUUUCUCAGGCAACUGAAAGAACAUAUUUGGAUAUGUUAAGAUGAAAGGAGACUUCAAGAGAACUGGACUUUGUGUUGGACAGGCUGUCUGUGACAGGGAAAAAACCCCUUCUGAAUGAUUAGGGAUGAAUCAGUUAACUGGCUUGAGUUUCACAUCCUUCAUCUGUAAAAUCUGGUGAUUAGACUGGCCCAGCAAAAGAUAUAAUGGGCAAAAGAUAUAAUACACAUAAAUUGGAAUGAAUCUGCAUUUUCCAAGCCUGAUGACUUUAUUAAAACUGAAUUAAGUCACUAACUGGCAGCCUGAAGAUGAAAGGAAAGAACUCAGUCAUGCUUCUUAAGGUAAAAGGGCAGUCUAACUGAGAAUUUUGUUAUCUCUGAGGACAAAUUACAAGGAGAUAAAGACACUCGAGAUCACAUGGAAGGCUUCUGCUCCCACUUAGAGACUGCAAUGUAAGCAACGGAGACAAAGAAGAUUUUCCUGAGCAGUGUCAGUAACAAAGAAAUGAGGCAAAUUAUUAAGAAACUGAUGGGCAUUCAUUGAAGAGCAACAAAUAUGAUUCAUAAGUCUGAAGGGACAGCCUUCAGAGGGAAGAUGAAAGAGACAAGUCUCUCAGCAUGACCAUGUGGCUCUAACGGGACUGGCUCAUGGGCAACAAGUACUUGAAGGGUGUAAAUAGUGGGGACAGAGAGAAAUUAUUUAGUGUCCAAGGGGACAGCAGGAGGAGUGAUGGUAAAUGAAAGUCAAAACAAAGAUGAUUUAGGCAGCUGAACGAGUCACAUGCCCUAAUGGAGAGAUCUAUUAUAGGCUGUACAGCAUCAUCCCUUGGGAAGGGUGGAAACCCCAUCACUUGCGCCAUUUACAGUUGGAAAAGGCAUUAAAAAGUAGAUCAGCCUGUUGGAGAGGGAAAAAACACCGCAGGUCCUCAGAGAAUCAGUGGGAUGACUUAAUAGGUCUUUUCCAUCUCAAAUUACUGUGAUGUAGUUUGUAUGCUUGGGGACCUGAGGUGCUAGAAUAAUUUUUCCAGCAUUUGGGCUUCUUUACUAUUACUACAAGCCCUCAGUGAAGAAAUGAUAAUGGGUCAUGGAAUGCAGUUUCUGCAUUGUAAGUGGAAGCCCACAGUGUACUGAUGCUUUAGUAUGAAGGCAGGACUGACUAUGAUUAAGUUUCACAUUGUGAUGUCAGUGUAAAUAAAUACAAACACAAUACCAAUUAAGUCCCAAAACAACAUACAUAUAUUGACUGAGACCAAAGGCAGAGGGAAAGGACCUUUGUCACAGUUAGAUGGUGGCUGAAUAAAUGAAAAUUCAAGUAGUUUAUUCUCUCAUCUAGAAAAAUACAUGUCUAAAUACUUAAAAGUCUAUCUUUACAAAAAAAAAUAAGAAAAAAAAUGGCCUUAAAACUAUCAAGAAAUAUUUACUGUGUAGGAACUUUAGGACCCAUAUUUUGAAUGUGUGCUGUAUUUCUGUCCACAGCUGCAGUUGUAAUUAGCAACUGACACAUUCCGAAACCAUGGUGGCCCAGAGGAGCACAUAUGUGCACAGGCUGUGCCAACCUGGGGCAAUAACUGCAACUGAAAGGAACGGGCACAGCUUGGUCAGAUGGAAACUGGGGCAGGCAGAGAAGGGCUGGUGUUACUGUGAUUACUAGAAGGAGCACAGCUGUGACCAUCUCAACCCUUCUCACCCAGAGGAUGACACGGAAGCAGGGGACAAAAAUGGUAAGAGGGUGACAGGAGGGAGAGGCAGCAAGAAAGAAAGCAAAAGAAUCCAGAGAGGGAAACCCACAGAUGCAAGCUCUUUGCAGGUGGAGUAUAUGACAGAUCCUGAUAAAAAUAUUGUAUGUGGUUGAGCACAAGUGAAACUUGGCGUUCUAGAAGACUGAAGUUUGCAACAAACAAAUUCAGGGUUUGACCUACACCUGACAGAUAUAGGUCAACCCUCAUCCUGCUGCUCUCAGCAGCUGUAGCCAAUAGGAGACAGUGCUGCCCAGCAUGCCGGUUUAAGCUGCUGCUAAUAGAGGGAAACCAACGUAACCCCAUAUUUCCUGCCUCUGCAGUCCUCACUUGUCUAUACACGGCCAACUCAGGCGCAGGCAGAGCUGCUGGCUUGCUGUAACUGCUGGAAGACUGAUAAGUGGAAUCUGGUGCUAGCAUAUAUAUUCCCACCUCAUCUAGCUAAAAAAUCUUUUGUCAAGCCUUUUAAGGGAGGACCAUUAAAAUUCAAUUUUCCCUCAUUAACCUAAAUGCUUUCUUAAAUUCAUAUAACCAGAAGAGACUUACUAAUUCUUCACACCAACAGAACUUUAGAGAUGUUUAGAGAGAGGAAAUUCCGUGACAGAGGCCUAUUUUUGAAAGGAUACAGCAAAGGUUAAGUGACUUAUCCCAUGUUACUUAGAGGUGAUAGUUAAGGCAGAAAGCGAACUGAGGGAGUGGUCUGAGACAAGUGAGGAAAUUAUGAAAUUAAAUCUGAAGAAAGAACGUCAUCACCAAAUCACAUUGGGUUAAAUAUCUAUUGGAAAUCCCAAUUCAGUAACACACAUUCCUUUAUCCUACAUGUUCAGACUAGUGUUAAAAGUGACUUCAGAUAUUUCCUAUGCUCAUGUUUUUUUUAAAAAAAGUCCAACCAUUCUCCUCAAUGAACAUGACAUUAAAUCAAGCUAAGUCCAGUCACAUGGUCUCAACUUUACUCACUAAAGCUAGCAGGCAAGGGCCUAGUGAGUUGAAUUAGAGGUUUAAUUAGAAGAACAAGCAAUAAAUACUAAAUGUUCUGUUGCAACUGUGUAACUUUCUGUGGGAUUUUAUGCCUUGUAUCUUUUUUCCUGAAUUCCAGACCAACGGGGCUGCACUAGAACCCCAGAAGCAGAGAAUUCCAUAACUCAGACUCUUUGAUUCAGAUAUUUUUCUUUUCAUCACCUUGAGAGAGCAAAUAAAUCCCCCAAACUACUUUUCCCACCUCUCAAGCUUCUAGAGGAUAUUCUUGACUGGAAUUUGUCCAUGUUCUGAAAUAACAGGUUACUUCACUUUCUUUGUGUUUAAAUAAAUGUAAUUAGGCCUGUUUUUAAAAACUAUGGAAAAUAUUAAAAAGAAAAUAAAAAUCAUCUAUAAACUUACCACUUAGUGGCAGCCACAUGAA